rnacentral:rRNA from 1 species
GAUGAACGCCGGCGGCGUGCCUAAUACAUGCAAGUCGAGAGAACGGACGAGAAGCUUGCUUCUCUGAUGUUAGCGGCGGACGGGUGAGUAACACGUGGAUAACCUACCUAUAAGACUGGGAUAACUUCGGGAAACCGGAGCUAAUACCGGAUAAUAUUUUGAACCGCAUGGUUCAAAAGUGAAAGACGGUCUUGCUGUCACUUAUAGAUGGAUCCGCGCUGCAUUAGCUAGUUGGUAAGGUAACGGCUUACCAAGGCAACGAUGCAUAGCCGACCUGAGAGGGUGAUCGGCCACACUGGAACUGAGACACGGUCCAGACUCCUACGGGAGGCAGCAGUAGGGAAUCUUCCGCAAUGGGCGAAAGCCUGACGGAGCAACGCCGCGUGAGUGAUGAAGGUCUUCGGAUCGUAAAACUCUGUUAUUAGGGAAGAACAUAUGUGUAAGUAACUGUGCACAUCUUGACGGUACCUAAUCAGAAAGCCACGGCUAACUACGUG